AGUGAACGCUGGCGGCGUGCCUAAUACAUGCAAGUCGAACGGAGUGGGGCACGGGUGAGUAAUGUAUAGCUAAUAUGCCCCCCACUAGAGGACAACAGCUGGAAAAGGCUGCUAAUACUCCAUAGUGUCGGAUGAGGCUAUAUUGUAUCAGCUAGCUGGUGAGGUAGUGGCUCACUAAGGGUAUGACGCAUAACUGGUCUGAGAGGAUGAUCAGUCACACUGUAAGUGAGACACGGUCCAGACACCUACGGGAGGGAGCAGUAGGGAAUAUUGCUCAAUGGGGGAAACCCUGAAGCAGCAACGCCGCGUGGAGGAUGACACUUUGCGGAGCGUAAACUCCUUUUGUUAGGGAAGCGGUACCUAACGAAUAAGCACCGGCUAACUCCGUGCCAGCAGCCGCGGUAAUAC
rnacentral:rRNA from 1 species